AAGAGGCUGGAAGAGUUUCUGGUGGACAGAUUUCACACGAACCUCAUGAGACUUGAAAAUGAGUGUUAACUCAGCGUGCUAUCCGCCCUGUACUCAGUACCUGCCUGGGAUCUGUGCCUCUGAGAACAUCUUGCUGUCCUAUGGGCGAGAACUGAUGCAGUAUUGGCUUUGAACUUUCCACUGCAUCCCGGCCUGUGCGCGCUGAAAUUGAAGAAAGUGAACUGCACAUCUGGAUUCCUCUCUCCACCUCUGGAUGGUGUGGGCCAGCCCCCUUGUAGGCCUGCUACUACAGUAGACUGAAUCCCUACUCAUGAGAAAACCUCUUCCCUA
rnacentral:lncRNA from 1 species